rnacentral:rRNA from 1 species
AACGAACGCUGGCGGCAUGCCUAAAACAUGCAAGUCGAACGGGUGUAGCAAUACACCAGUGGCAGACGGGUGCGUAACACGUGGGAACCUGCCCAGAGGUUCGGAAUAGCUGCGGGAAACUGCAGGUAAUACCGAAUGUCGCCUGAGGGCUAAAGGAGCAAUCCGCCUUUGGAGGGGCCCGCGUCCGAUUAGCUAGUUGGUGAGGUAACGGCUCACCAAGGCUACGAUCGGUAGCUGGUCUGAGAGGAUGACCAGCCACACUGGAACUGAGAUACGG